AUCCUCCAAGGCUAAAUACUCCUGAUUGACCGAUAGUGAACCAGUACCGUGAGGGAAAGGCGAAAAGAACCCCGGCGAGGGGAGUGAAAAAGAACCUGAAACCGUGUACGUACAAGCAGUAGGAGCCCCAUCACUCAAGUGCCUCGCACUGAGUGAUGCAAGAACAUCACCGAAAAUAGCGCCGAAUUUGCUAACAAGGUUGGUCGAUUUUUUCAAGCUGUCGCGCAGUGUACCUAGAAGUACACGAGCAACGGAAGUUAAAAAAUCGGGCAAGAUUGAACGCAAAGGCAAGCGGGACAUUUGAGGAUGGGGUGACUGCGUACCUUUUGUAUAAUGGGUCAGCGACUUAUAUUCUGUAGCGAGGUUAACCGCAUAGGGGAGCCGUAGGGAAACCGAGUCUUAACUGGGCGAAUGAGUUGCAGGGUAUAGACCCGAAACCCGGUGAUCUAUCCAUGGGCAGGUUGAAGGUUGGGUAACACUAACUGGAGGACCGAACCGACUAAUGUUGAAAAAUUAGCGGAUGACUUGUGGAUGGGGGUGAAAGGCCAAUCAAACCGGGAGAUAGCUGGUUCUCCCCGAAAGCUAUUUAGGUAGCGCCUCGUGAACUCAUCUUCGGGGGUAGAGCACUGUUUCGACUAGGGGGUCAUCCCGACUUACCAACUCGAUGCAAACUGCGAAUACCGAAGAAUGUUAUCACGGGAGACACACGGCGGGUGCUAACGUCCGUCGUGAAGAGGGAAACAACCCAGACCGCCAGCUAAGGUCCCAAAGUCAUGGUUAAGUGGGAAACGAAGUGGGAAGGCUCAGACAGCCAGGAUGUUGGCUUAGAAGCAGCCAUCAUUUAAAGAAAGCGUAAUAGCUCACUGGUCGAGUCGGCCCGCGCGGAAGAUGUAACGGGGCUAAACCAUGCACCGAAGCUGCGGCAGCGA
rnacentral:rRNA from 1 species